rnacentral:lncRNA from 1 species
UUUUUUUUAAUUAACUUGGAGACUAAGUAAUGACAGAUUAAACCAGAAAAAUGCGCAAGCAAGCAGUGUAAGUCCUCUAAAUGCACACAAAUAAUCCCAACACAAUGUUUCAGUUUUCCCACUAAUUUACUCAAGCUCCACAAUUAAUCAAGAGGAUCAAAUCUUCAAUGCUAAACCAGCUCAAAAUUAAGGUAAUUUAAUUUAGUUAUGGGCAAGCACAAAAAAUAAUAUUAAUGCUAAAUCUUGGUUAACAAGUGUUAAAAAAAACAUACCAGGAAUGAUGAUUUUCAAUGGGUAAAAAUUCUGACCGUAUGAUGUGGCAGCGAAGGAUUACGUGGCAGCUGACGUGGCAGGAUAUACUGAUGGGGCAGAUGAUGUGGCAGGGGAAGCUGACGUGGUAGAGAUAAUGACGUGGCAGCGACGUGGCAAGAUCUGCUGACGUGUCAGGUGACACUGAUGCUGACGUGGCGCUGACGUGUCUAGGUUAAUUAUAUUCUCAGCUGUGGUUUUCUUUCUUUCUUCCUUGCUUCCCUAGCUUCUGUGACCCGUUGCCGCCGCUGUCGGUGAUGGCUCGCUCCGUGUUCUUGCUUGGGGCCAGCGGCGCGAGGGGAGGAGGUGGUGGUGUCUGGUGUUGCUGCUGGGCGGGGCUGUUGAUCCGGUGUCGCUGCUGGGCGUGGGUUGCUGCCGAAGGUGAGGGCGCUGUGGAUGGUGGGUCGCCGCUGGUGCUGUUGCUGGGGUGCGAUUGAUGGCGUUGCUGGUUAGCAACGCUGGAACCGACGACAGAGAGCUACGGUGGCUGCGGCGCUGCGGGUUGUUGAAGGCAGUAACUCGGCGUGGGCUUGCGAUCGAUGGCUGUGAUCGGUGUUGAGGACGACACUGGCGGAGGCGCUGCCUUUGCUGCUGUAAACCCGAACCGAUGUUGGCUGUGAUGGGUGUUGUGGGUAGCGGCGUCCAGUUUGAUGAUGGAGACGAUGAACAGUG